UACGUAGGGGGCAAGCGUUGUUCGGAAUUACUGGGCGUAAAGGGCGCGUAGGCGGCACGGUAAGUCGGGAGUGAAAGCCCGGGGCUCAACCCCGGACGUCUUUCGAAACUGCCGAGCUAGAGUGCGGAAGAGGCAACUGGAAUUCCCAGUGUAGCGGUGAAAUGCGUAGAUAUUGGGAAGAACACCUGAGGCGAAGGCGGGUUGCUGGGCCGACACUGACGCUGAGGCGCGAAAGCGUGGGGAGCAAACAGG
rnacentral:rRNA from 1 species